rnacentral:misc_RNA from 1 species
GAUGAAGAACGUAGCGAAAUGCGAUACGUAGUGUGAAUUGCAGAAUUCAGUGAAUCAUCGAAUCUUUGAACGCACAUUGCACCUCUCGGUAUUCCGGGAGGUAUGCCUGUUCGAGCGUCAUUUGUACCCUCAAGCUCUUCUUGGUGUUGGGUGUUUGUUCCGCCUCUGUGUGUGAACUCGCCUCAAAACAAUUGGCAGCCGGCGUACUUGUUUCGGAGCGCAGCACAUUUUGCGAUCCAGAUCAACGUACAGCGGCAUCCAAGAAGCCUUAUUUAACGCUCUUGACCUCGGAUCAGGUAGGGAUACCCGCUGAACUUAAGCAUAUCAAUAAGCGGAGGA